UUUUCUUUUUCUUUUCGGGAAAAAAUUGGCUUUAAUUUCAAAACAAAUCGUUAUUUUUAGGGUUUUGUUUUUAUUUGUGUUUUUUGUUCUAUCAGUUCAUUAUUUUGUACCAUUGCUUCAGGAUUUCUCAUAAUAAUGGUUAUUAUAUAAGGGUUUGUUGUAUUUGGUUUAAAAAUUGGAUUUUUACUGUUGUGAACCAUUAAGGUUUGGUUUUUCUGGGUUAAUAUGUGUAGAAAUUUGUAUAUCUGGGUUUGAGUUUUGUUUUGGCUUCAAGUAAUGUUUGUUUGGGGCCUAUAUUUGAAUGAUGGUGUAGUUUUAUUUUGUAUAGUGGGUUUGUUUUUGUUUUGAGAAAUUGAGUAGAAGGACCCAUAUCAACAUCAAGUUCGUCUCUUUGCUUGUUAAAUUGAAGAAGAUGAAAGAGAUGAACAGUUCCUCAAAUUAAGCUCAAACCUCGCCAAAAUGGGUCCUGCUUUCUGCGCCGACAUUGGCUGCAGCAUUGGUGUUAGCGUUGGUCUUGUUGGAGGCGCACAAACGAGCAAAAUAAACAAAACCCUUGAUGGGUUCUUUUGAAUUAUGGCUUAUGGUCCAACUUUGACUGCGAGUAUGGCAUUUGUAAGAGCGGUUUCACAGACUGGGAUGUCUCUUUCUACCAUUAAGCAUAGACCACGGGCUUUAACUGGUGAUUAGCCAUAUAUAUAUAUACUAUGGGGACUAUACAACAACAAGGUUUUAUAUGCAGCGCCGUUAGAGGGUUGUGCCUGAUGGUCCUUAAGAUACCUGAUGAUCCUUAAGAUACCUGAUGAUCUUCCAAUCACCAUGAAGCUGGUGUUGAAGGACAAGGCUGUUUCCAAGACUGGUCGUCACUAGCAUGCGUCACUUUGAGAGCAAAUAUAGCAGCUGUUUCAUGGAUGGGGGUGUCUCCAACAAUAGUUGUUUAUAUUAAAGAUGUGGUUUUCCCUCUGAUGCAUUUUUAAGGGAGAAUGAUCUGAUGGCCUAUGUACAGAUGGGAAUUGAAGAUGAUUUUUGUUGGUAGAUUUUUUUUUUUUGAAUGAUUGGAAAGUAUUAAUUAUUGUUCAUAGUUAAUUUUCCAAUCAUUUAGGUAUUGUAUAUGACGUAAAGAGGUAUAGUAUAUGACGUAAAGUGGUAUUAUAUAUGAUGUAAAGAAUUAUGGCUGCAAUUUCCUCCAUUCUGCUUCCUUUUACUAACCCUUCAUCUUUUUUUUUUUUUUCUCUAUUUCAGUA